rnacentral:rRNA from 1 species
UCGAGAUCGAAACACAUCGAGCGAUUCGGAGAACUCGUGAAGCGAGUGACGACAGUUGCCGCCGUGGGAUGACCGUCUCGGCCGUCGCCUCGUCCCCUCCUGGGAGGGGCAUGGGGGGCACAACCCGGGAUGGAUGAAACACAAACUGGCACAGCUUCGCGCCAAGGGAAAAUCAAAAGGCACAGGCCCCGCAUCGGGCUCGUUGGCAUGGAGUGCCGUCGCGCUCCAUGCGGAUGGACACGACUCUCGGUAAUGGAUAUCUCAGCUCUCGCAUUGAUGAAGAGUGCAGCAAAAUGUGAUACGUGGUGUGAAUUGUAGAAUCCCGUGAACCAUCGAGUCUUUGAAUGCAAGUUGCGCCCAAGGCCAGCCGGCCGAGGGCACGUCCACCUGGGCAUCAAGCAUCGCGUCGCUCCAUGCUAACUCCGUCACCCUGAUGGGUGCAUGUCAGUCGAGGCACGGAUGCGCAGGGUGGCCUGUCGUGCCCUCCGGCGCGGUGGGCUGAAGAGUCGGUCGUCAUCUCGCUGGCUGCGGGCAAUGAGGGGUGGGUGAAAGCUGUGAGCACAACCCGUGUUGUCUCGUGCGGAGCCUGAGAGAAUGACGGUGCCCCCAAGGUGAUCCCGACCCACGCGUCGAUCUGCAUGUGGCGGCUUGGAAU